rnacentral:ncRNA from 1 species
UAUAGAGUAAAAUAAUCUCGUAUAUAAUCGGUAAUAUGGUCCGAAAGUUUCUACCUGCUAACCUUAAAUAUGCAGACUACGAGGAGUUGUGUUUAU